rnacentral:rRNA from 1 species
GACGAACGCUGGCGGCGUGCCUAAUACAUGCAAGUCGAACGCAGUGGGGGCGGGUGCGUAACACGUGGGUAACCUCGCAUCAGAGGGGAUAACACUUAGCUACAGGUGCUAAACCGAUACUGAUGUAUCGACCCGCGGUGCAUUAGCUAGUGGGUGAGGUAACGGCUCACCAAGGCGACGAUGCAUAGCUGACCUGAGAGGGUGACCGGCCACACUGGGACUGAGACACGGCCCAGACUCCUACGGGAGGCAGCAGUGGGGAAUCUUGCGCAAUGGACGAAAGUCUGACCGAGCAACGCCGCGUGAGUGAAGAAGGUUUUCGGAUCGUAAAGCUCUGUUGGUGGGGAAGCGGUAUUUAACCAGAAAGCCACGGCUAACUACGUGCCAGCCGCCGCGGUAAUUC